AACGAACGCUGGCGGCAGGCUUAACACAUGCAAGUCGAACGCCCCGCAAGGGGAGUGGCAGACGGGUGAGUAACGCGUGGGAAUCUACCUAGUUCUACGGAACAACAGUUGGAAACGACUGCUAAUACCGUAUACGCCCUAUGGGGGAAAGAUUUAUCGGAAUUAGAUGAGCCCGCGUAAGAUUAGCUAGUUGGUGGGGUAAUGGCCUACCAAGGCGACGAUCUUUAGCUGGUCUGAGAGGAUGAUCAGCCACACUGGGACUGAGACACGGCCCAGACUCCUACGGGAGGCAGCAGCGGGGAAUAUUGGACAAUGGGCGCAAGCCUGAUCCAGCCAUGCCGCGUGAGUGAUGAAGGCCUUAGGGUUGUAAAGCUCUUUCAGUGGGGAAGAUAAUGACGGUACCCACAGAAGAAGCCCCGGCUAACUUCGUGCCAGCCGCCGCGGUAAAAC
rnacentral:rRNA from 1 species